AGUUAAUGAACUUGUCAAGUAUAUGUUUUGAAAGCAUAAAAAAGAAGUUAUAAUCUUCUAUUAACUU
rnacentral:tRNA from 1 species